rnacentral:rRNA from 1 species
AGCGAACGUUAGCGGCGGGCUUAACACAUGCAAGUCGAACGCGAAAGGGAUUCGUCCCCAGUAGCGUGGCGUCCGGGUGAGUAACACGUAGGAAACCUUGCCUAGAGUGGGGGAUAACGUCCCGAAAGGGACGCUAAUACCGCAUAAGCCCACGUCGGCCUCGGCCGAUGCGGGAAAAGAUGGCCUCUGAAUUCAAGCUAUCGCUCAAGGAUGGUCCUGCGGCGCAUCAGCUAGUUGGUGGGUAACGGCCUACCAAGGCGAAGACGCGUAGCUGGUCUGAGAGGAUGAUCAGCCACACUGGCACUGAAACACGGGCCAGACUCCUACGGGAGGCAGCAGUGGGGAAUAUUGGACAAUGGGCGGCAAGCCUGAUCCAGCCACGCCGCGUGAGUGAUGAAGGCCUCGGUU